rnacentral:rRNA from 1 species
GUGGGGAAUUUUGGACAAUGGGCGAAAGCCUGAUCCAGCAAUGCCGCGUGUGUGAAGAAGGCCUUCGGGUUGUAAAGCACUUUUGUCCGGAAAGAAAACGUUCCUACUAAUAUUGGGGGCGGAUGACGGUACCGGAAGAAUAAGCACCGGCUAACUACGUGCCAGCAGCCGCGGUAAUACGUAGGGUGCAAGCGUUAAUCGGAAUUACUGGGCGUAAAGCGUGCGCAGGCGGUUUGUUAAGACGGAUGUGAAAUCCCCGGGCUCAACCUGGGAACUGCAUUCGUGACUGGCAGGCUAGAGUAUGGCAGAGGGGGGUGGAAUUCCACGUGUAGCAGUGAAAUGCGUAGAGAUGUGGAGGAACACCGAUGGCGAAGGCAGCCCCCUGGGCCAAUACUGACGCUCAUGCACGAAAGCGUGGGGAGCAAACAGGAUUAGAAACCCUUGUAGUCC